CAUCUACUCCCUUUGUUUUGAAUUACUUGUCGCAGGUAUGGAUGUAUCUAAAUGUAUUUUAGUUAUAGAUACAUCUAUUUCUACGACGAGUAAUUUGGAACGAAGGGAAUACGAG
rnacentral:pre_miRNA from 1 species